rnacentral:lncRNA from 11 species
CAUCUAGCACGUCAGUAAGAUGAGAUUAGAUUUCCUUGGGGCCUUUAAAAGAAGUGUUCUGCCCUGAGAAGCAGUCUUGAAAUUUAGCUGAGGGGGACAAGUCUGAAACUUGAAGCAGGAUGGCUUCUGCAGAAGAGAAUGAAAUUAUUAAAACUUUAUGUCAACAUCAGUAUGGAUUUCUCAUUUCAAAGAUUAUGUUUUCAGCCUGUGAGUUGGGAGUUUUUGAUCUGCUUUUGGAGUCAAAAGAGCUCCUGAGUUCAGCAGUUAUCGCUGAACGCUUGGGCACCAGCCACCCAGAAAUGCAAAGGCUGCUGGAGGCCUGUGUGGGCUUAAAGUUACUAAGAAUGGAGAGGAAGGACAACGAAGGCCUUUUUGGAAAUACAGACCUUGCCAGCCUCUGCCUUGCUAAAUCAAGCCCAAGGACCCAGUAUUAUUUCAUGAAGUUUCUAUCUGAUAUCGUUUAUCCAACUUCACAGUACUUGACUGAUGCCGUAAGGGAAGGAAAAAGAAUGACCUUUUUGGAGCAGUUUACAGUACAGAAGAAAGGCUGCAAAGAUUCUCCAUUGCUAUGGGUGAUGCCUGGUGCCUAUAUGGUCAGGAACUGUUGUCUGCAUUUGAUCUUUCCUGUUUCCAAGUUGUUUGUGAUGUGGGAGGAGGAAAUGGUACUUUAG